rnacentral:misc_RNA from 1 species
UACGUAGGGGGCAAGCGUUGUCCGGAAUUAUUGGGCGUAAAGGGCACGCAGGCGGCUUCUUAAGUCUGAUGUGAAAGCCCGCGGCUCAACCACGGAGGGCCAUUGGAAACUGGGGAACUUGAGAAUAGAAGAGGAGAGUGGAAUUCCACGUGUAGCGGUGAAAUGCGUAGAGAUGGGGAGGAAUACCAGUGGCGAAGGCGGCCUUCUGGACUAUCACUGACACUGAGGCGCGAAAGCGUGGGUAGCAAACAGG